UUAUAGGUUUUCGAGCUCAGCCAGCCCAGCCCAGCCUAGCCACCAUUUUUCAUCAUGAAGGAUUUUGGAUUUGUAGUUUUAGUGGCUGUACUUAAGUAUUCCGGCACUUUGUGAACUUCCUAGAGUGAUUGACUUCCCGAGAUUGAAACUGCCUGCCUGUAAGAAAGGCUUCUCAUGUGGUUAUAUAGCAACCGACGAAUACAGGGCCAUCGAACUUUCCAUUAAAGAGCCUUGCAUUCAAAGCGAUUGAUACAGUACCUCGGUUUCGUCUAAUUGUCGCAGAGCACGAGAAGACUAUCUGCCUAAGGGUAGGGAUGCAUUCGUGGAGGCCUCUUUAAGAGAAACUGGCUGGUAUACGCGUUAGACACCGGGAAAACUACGAAAAUGCCAUUUCAGCCAGCUCGUUUACUGGAACUCGCACCCCGAAUCGAACUACCAGUGUUCAGAGAUUUUACCGCUCGGCCGCUGGUAAGCCCUACUGAACGUUGUACUUUGUUUAGAAACUUACCACAAGUUGAUUUUCGAUAAUUAACCUUUCGAAUAAAAUUAAGUUGAAUUAAAAUAGUAUUCUUUACAUUUAUAUCUAUUUUUAUUACAUAAGACUGA